CGACUAAGGUUCGAUUCGAGCGCAGCGAGAAAGCGUUGCCGUAGGCAACGACCCGAAGGGCGAAGCGCGCAGCGCUGAGUCAUCCUUCCCCCACCACCA
rnacentral:sRNA from 2 species